rnacentral:rRNA from 1 species
CGUCGGCCGACCGGACGCGACGGGUGCGUAACGCGUAUGUAACCUACCUUUGACAGGGGGAUAACAUCGAGAAAUUGGUACUAAUACCCCAUAACAUCACCGGAGGCAUCUUCGGUGGUUGAAAACUCAGGUGGUCAGAGAUGGACAUGCGUUGUAUUAGCUAGUUGGUGAGGUAACGGCUCACCAAGGCGACGAUACAUAGGGGGACUGAGAGGUCAACCCCCCACAUUGGUACUGAGACACGGACCAAACUCCUACGGAAGGCAGCAG